rnacentral:piRNA from 2 species
UAGUAGUGUCAGCGUGGACUGUAGG